rnacentral:ncRNA from 1 species
UCUUAUCAAGAGCAGGUGGAGGGACUAGCCCGAUGAUACCCGGCAACCGGCGAUGUAACCCAUCGCAGCGGUGCUAAUUCUUGCAGAGCGAGCAAGCUAUGAUGGUUUGUCCGUUUCUGAGAGAUGAG